rnacentral:snRNA from 1 species
GAAAUCCCCUUCUAGGCAUACCAUGAUCACAAAGGUGGUUUUCCCAGGGCGAGACUUAUCUAUUGCACUCCGGAUGUGCUGACCUCUGCGAGUUUCCCAAAUGUGGGAAACUCAACUGCAUAAUUUGUAGUAGUGGGGGACUGAAUUCAUGCUUUCCCCUG